GACGAACGCUGGCGGCGUGCUUAACACAUGCAAGUCGAACGGAAAGGCCCUGCUUUUGUGGGUUGCUCGAGUGGCGAACGGGUGAGUAACACGUGAGUAACCUGCCCUUGACUUUGGGAUAACUUCAGGAAACUGGGGCUAAUACCGGAUAGGAGCUCCUGCUGCAUGGUGGGGGUUGGAAAGUUUCGGCGGUUGGGGAUGGACUCGCGGCUUAUCAGCUUGUUGGUGGGGUAGUGGCUUACCAAGGCUUUGACGGGUAGCCGGCCUGAGAGGGUGACCGGCCACAUUGGGACUGAGAUACGGCCCAGACUCCUACGGGAGGCAGCAGUGGGGAAUAUUGCACAAUGGGCGGAAGCCUGAUGCAGCAACGCCGCGUGCGGGAUGACGACCUUCGGGUUGUAAACCGCUUUCGCCUGUGACGAAGCGUGAGUGACGGUAAUGGGUAAAGAAGCACCGGCUAACUACGUG
rnacentral:rRNA from 1 species